rnacentral:rRNA from 1 species
GAUGAACGCUGGCGGCGUGCCUAAUACAUGCAAGUAGAACGCUGAAGGAAGGAGCUUGCUCUUUCCGGAUGAGUUGCGAACGGGUGAGUAACGCGUAGGUAACCUGCCUGGUAGCGGGGGAUAACUAUUGGAAACGAUAGCUAAUACCGCAUAACAGUAGAUGUUGCAUGAUAUCUACUUAAAAGGUGCAAUUGCACCACUACCAGAUGGACCUGCGUUGUAUUAGCUAGUUGGUGAGGUAACGGCUCACCAAGGCGACGAUACAUAGCCGACCUGAGAGGGUGAUCGGCCACACUGGGACUGAGACAUGGCCCAGACUCCUACGGGAGGCAGCAGUAGGGAAUCUUCGGCAAUGGACGGAAGUCUGACCGAGCAACGCCGCGUGAGUGAAGAAGGUUUUCGGAUCGUAAAGCUCUGUUGUAAGAGAAGAACGAGUGUGAGAGUGGAAAGUUCACACUGUGACGGUAUCUUACCAGAAAGGGACGGCUAACUACGUG